GCUACACAGUGAGUACCAGGUCGGCAGGGGCUACAAAGUGAAAUGCUGUCUGAAACCACCAAACAAACAAGAAACGGCAUCUCUGCAUGCCUGUGUUACUGCAAAUUACUGUUCGGCAACAUUUGGAUUCAGAAGCAGCCAUCAUUUACUAAGUCCCCAUGGAACCAAGGAAGCUGCCCUGACUCAGAUGAAGCAUCCAGUGAUGGUGGCAUAUGUCUGCUUGGAGAGAAGAUCGUUGUCUCUUUCUUUCCUUCCAUAGGAAACAGGGAUCUGGAAGAUUGAACUUUGAGGACAAAUAAGGACAUGAGGGGACCUAGAAGAACUGAAGGCAAAGUCAGGAAGUGGAAUAAACUAAGGUCAAGACAUCACAUUUCUCUAGUAACAUGUGAGACCUUGGACACAAGACUCAUGCUGUGCUCAUCUCAACCUUCUCGUUUAUACAAUGAGUGGGCAGGGCUCUAACCUGAAAGAGAAAUAGUUCCUCAAUUGACAUAUGGGGUUUUGCUCAAAAUUUCCCCAAGAGGUUAUAAGUGUGGCAGAGAGGAGACCCGGUGAAGCUCCUUGGUCUCUCAGAGCUGCUCUCUCUGCUCCCGCAAGGCUCUUGGGUUCCUUGUUCUCACUUCCAUCUGGCUUUGGCCAAUGGUAGACCCUUGGAGGAAAGCUGAAGC
ensembl:lncRNA